rnacentral:piRNA from 1 species
UGACCGAGGACUCCUGUCUGCCUUU